GACGAACGCUGGCGGCGUGCUUAACACAUGCAAGUCGAACGAACCUUCGGGUUAGUGGCGGACGGGUGAGUAACGCGUGGGAAUCUGCCCUUAGGAGGGGGAUAACGGCUGGAAACGGCCGCUAAUACCCCAUAUGCCGAGAGGUGAAAUGAAUUUCGCCUGAGGAUGAGCCCGCGUCUGAUUAGCUUGUUGGUGAGGUAAUGGCUCACCAAGGCUUCGAUCAGUAGCUGGUCUGAGAGGAUGAUCAGCCACACUGGGACUGAGACACGGCCCAGACUCCUACGGGAGGCAGCAGUGGGGAAUUUUCCGCAAUGGGCGAAAGCCUGACGGAGCAACGCCGCGUGAGGGAUGAAGGCCUCUGGGCUGUAAACCUCUUUUCUCAAGGAAGAAGAUCUGA
rnacentral:rRNA from 1 species